UACGGGGGGGAGCAAGCGUUGUUCGGAUUUACUGGGCGUAAAGGGCGCGUAGGCGGUCGUGACAAGUCACUUGUGAAAUCUCCGGGCUUAACUCGGAACGGUCAAGUGAUACUGUCGGACUAGAGUACAGAAGGGGGCAACUGGAAUUCUCGGUGUAGCGGUGAAAUGCGUAGAUAUCGAGAGGAACACCGGUGGCGAAGGCGGGUCUCUGGGCCGAUACUGACGCUGAGGAGCGAAAGCAUGGGGAGCGAACAGG
rnacentral:rRNA from 1 species